CGUUUUAUGUAAUUAAUAUAAAAUUAAAUCUGCCCAGUGAAAUUUUAACGGCCGCAGUACUUUGACUGUGCUAAGGUAGCAUAAUAAAUUGGCUUUUAAUUGAAGUCUUGUAUGAAAGAAUUCAUGGAUAAUUUCUGUCUUUAUAUAAGUUUUUAAAAUUUACUUUUAAGGUGAAAAUACCUUUAAAUAUUUAAUAGACGAGAAGACCCUAGGAGUUAUUGUUUUUGUUGGGGCGACAUUUCUUCAUUUAACAUGAAUAAUUUAUUUUUAUUAUUAAACGAUUAUUAUAAUUUUAAUUUAACUACCCUAGGGAUAACAGCAUAAUUUAUUUUUAAGUUUAUGACCUCGAUGUUGGAUUAGGAAAGUUUAAGGUUAAUAAUUUUAAUUCUAUGUUCUGUUCGAACAAAAAUUCCU
rnacentral:rRNA from 1 species